UGUCCUACGGGGGGCAACAGUGGGGAAUAUUGGGCAAUGGGCGCAAGCCUGAUCCAGCAACGCCGCGUGAAGGAAGAAGGCUUUCGGGUUGUAAACUUCUUUUAUGAGGGACGAAAGAAAUGACGGUACCUCAUGAAUAAGCCACGGCUAACUACGUGCCAGCAGCCGCGGUAAUACGUAGGUGGCAAGCGUUAUCCGGAUUUACUGGGUGUAAAGGGCGUGUAGGCGGGACUGCAAGCGAGAUGUGGAAAUUAUGGGCUC
rnacentral:rRNA from 1 species